GGGGAAUAAGGAGAGGGCAAGACUGGUGUCAGCCGCCGCGGUAAUACCAGCUCUCCGAGUGGUAGGGAUGAUUAUUGGGCUUAAAGCGUCCGUAGCCGGCUUAGCAAGUCUCCGGUUAAAUUCANCGACCUAAUCGUUGAGCCGCGGGAGAUACUACUAGGCUAGGAGGCGGGAGAGGCCGACGGUACUUCCGGGGUAGGGGUGAAAUCCUAUAAUCCCGGGCGGACCACCAGUGGCGAAGGCUGUCGGCUAGAACGCGCUCGACGGUGAGGGACGAAAGCUGGGGGAGCGAACCGGAUUAAAUACCCGGGUAGUCCCAGCCGUAAACGAUGCGGGCUAGGUGUUGGGGUGGCUACGUGCCACUUCAGUGCCGCAGGGAAGCCAUUAAGCCCGCCGCCUGGGGAGUACGGCCGCAAGGCUGAAACUUAAAGGAAUUGGC
rnacentral:rRNA from 1 species